GACAGAGGAUGCAAGCGUUAUCCGGAAUGAUUGGGCGUAAAGCGCGUGUAAGCGGCCAAACAGGUCAGCUGUGAAAACUCGAGGCUCAACCUCGAGAUGUCGGCGGAAACCAUCUGGCUAGAGUGCGGUAGGGGAGACUGGAAUUCCUGGUGUAGCGGUGAAAUGCGCAGAUAUCAGGAGGAACACCGGUGGCGAAGGCGGGUCUCUGGGCCGUAACUGACGCUGAGGAGCGAAAGCAUGGGGAGCGAACAGG
rnacentral:rRNA from 1 species